GGUUCCUAUCCCAUGCUAAUCAGGGUAGGGUAAGUCGGCCCCUAAGGCGAGGCAGAGAUGCGUAGUCGAUGGGAAACAGGUUAAUAUUCCUGUACCACUAAUACAUGCGCUGGGGUGACGGAGAAGGCUAGGCUAGAACACAGUUGGUGUGUAUCUAAGCGUUUAGGCAGAGCACUUAGGCAAAUCCGGGUGCUUAAUGCUGAGGCGUGAUGGCGACGGUUCUACGGAACUGGAGUAGUCGAUGCCAUGCUUCCAGGAAAACCCUCUAAGCAUCAGUUUAUUAGUGACCGUACUCUAAACGGACACACGUGGAUAGGAUGAGAAUUCCAAGGCGCUUGAGAGAACUUGGGUGAAGGAACUAGGCAAAAUAGCACCGUAACUUCGGGAGAAGGUGCGCCCCUGACGGUUCAUAGCUGUCGGGGGCCGCAGAGACCAGGUGGCUGCGACUGUUUAACAAAAACACAGCACUCUGCUAACGCGAAAGCGGACGUAUAGGGUGUGACGCCUGCCCGGUGCCGGAAGGUUAAUUGAUGGGGUUAGCGUAUGCGAAGCUCUUGAUCGAAGCCCCGGUAAACGGCGGCCGUAACUAUAACGGUCCUAAGGUAGCGAAAUUCCUUGUCGGGUAAGUUCCGACCUGCACGAAUGGCGUAACGACGGCCACACUGUCUCCACCCAAGACUCAGUGAAAUUGAACUCGCAGUUAAGAUGCUGCGUACCCGCGGCUAGACGGAAAGACCCCGUGCACCUUUACUACAGCUUUGCACUGAACAUUGGGCCUACUUGUGUAGGAUAGCUGGGAGGCUUUGAAACCGGGACGCUAGUUCCGGUGGAGCCAAUCUUGAAAUACCAGCCUGGUAGUUCUGAUGUUCUAACCAUGGCCCCUUAGCGGGGUUUGGGACAGUGUAUGGUGGGUAGUUUGACUGGGGCGGUCUCCUCCUAAAGCGUAACGGAGGAGCGCGAAGGUUCCCUAAGCCGGGUCGGAAAUCCUGAGGUUUGUGCAAAGGCAUAAGUGAGCUUGACUGCGAGACAGACACGUCGAGCAGGUACGAAAGUAGGUCUUAGUGAUCCGGUGGUUCUGUAUGGAAGGGCCAUCGCUCAACGGAUAAAAGGUACGCCGGGGAUAACAGGCUGAUUCCUCCCAAGAGUCCAUAUCGACGGGGGAGUUUGGCACCUCGAUGUCGGCUCAUCACAUCCUGGGGCUGUAGCAGGUCCCAAGGGUAUGGCUGUUCGCCAUUUAAAGUGGUACGCGAGCUGGGUUUAGAACGUCGUGAGACAGUUCGGUCCCUAUCUGCCGUGGACGUUUGAGAUUUGAGAGGAGCUGCUCCUAGUACGAGAGGACCGGAGUGGACGAACCUCUGGUGUUCCGGUUGUCACGCCAGUGGCAUUGCCGGGUAGCUAUGUUCGGACGGGAUAACCGCUGAAAGCAUCUAAGCGGGAAGCCUCCCUCAAGAUAAGAUCUCACUGGGACAUAAGUCCCCUAAAGAGCCGUUCGAGACUAGGACGUUGAUAGGUUGGGUGUGUAAGUGCUGUGAGGCAUUGAGCUAACC
rnacentral:rRNA from 1 species